rnacentral:rRNA from 1 species
AAUGUCCUACGGGGGGCAGCAGUCGGGAAUAUUGCGCAAUGGAGGAAACUCUGACGCAGUGACGCCGCGUAUAGGAAGAAGGUUUUCGGAUUGUAAACUAUUGUAGACAGGGAAGAAGAAAGACAGUACCUGUAGAGUAAGCUCCGGCUAACUACGUGCCAGCAGCCGCGGUAAUACGUAGGGUGCAAGCGUUAUCCGGAUUUAUUGGGCGUAAAGGGCUCGUAGGCGGUUCGUCGCGUCCGGUGUGAAAGUCCAUCGCUUAACGGUGGAUCCGGGCCGGGUACGGGCGGGCUUG